rnacentral:rRNA from 1 species
UACGUAGGGUGCGAGCGUUGUCCGGAAUUAUUGGGCGUAAAGGGCUCGUAGGCGGUCUGUCACGUCGGGAGUGAAAACUCGGGGCUUAACUCCGAGCCUGCUUCUGAUACGGGCAGACUAGAGGUAUGCAGGGGAGAAUGGAAUUCCUGGUGUAGCGGUGAAAUGCGCAGAUAUCAGGAGGAACACCGGUGGCGAAGGCGGGUCUCUGGCCCGGUUCUGACGCUGAGGCGCGAAAGCGUGGGGAGCAAACAGG